rnacentral:misc_RNA from 1 species
GAAAAAGCCCAUUUGAUUCCAAUCCCUCCCUUCCUGAGCUUGAAACAAUAAACCCCAGAAAACCAAAACCCCACUUUUAAGUUAAUUGCUGUGAAUAAUCAUCAGUUGGCUGUUUCACAAAAAUUCAGAGGUGGUUUUUCUCAGAUUUUGUGGUAUUGGUUUUCCUUAUCUUCGAUAGCUGAAAAACUGCAUGUUUUGGCAAUAUAUAUAUAUCUUCAUGGGUUUUCUCUUUUCUUCCAACAAGCUUCCAUAUAUACCAAUUUCAUUACUGAGAAAUCAUUUGUGUUAUUGUCUCUGCUCUAAACUUUUAUUUGUUGGUUCUGCAGGGGAAGACAAUGAAAGUCAAGCUCUUGCGUAUCCUUCUCAUAAAUGUGGUGCUUUGUGUGAUAUCAUUAUUAGUUUAAUGUAUUGAUUUGAUUUCACAAUUACAGAAAGAUAUGCUUUUUAUUAGUUUCUCUUUGGGAUAUCUUAUAUGGGUUGAGCCGUUGAGGCAACUGGGGGCUUGGGUGAAUUAUGUGAAUCAAAUUUGAUACACAAUCUUACCCUUAUUGAGUAACUCCCAAGGUUGCUGAGCAAUAACUUUUGUUAUGUCUCUGAUAUUCUGUCUGAUUCAGCAUUGUCUUGCAAUCGAAUCUUUCUUGGACAAUUUUUACUGUUUCUGGAAGACAUAAUUUGUUUUAUGAGUAAAUUUGAGGUAAUUAUGGAUUAAAGAUGUCAUUUUUAUUGCGUUUAGCUUUCUACUGUCAGUGAUCUUUUCCAUGAGAAUAUUAUUUGCCUUUUUAAAAUGUUGGGACUGAUCCUGUUACUGGGAGGGAAAUCUUCAGUGUUGUUUCAAUGUUUAAAUAUUAUUUUGAAUAUAUUUGUUCCCAAUUUGACAUUUUGAGCUUUCUGAGAAAACAGUUUUCUCUUGACUUAUCUUCUUUCUGCUUGUUGACCACUGCUUCCAAACAGAGUAUGUUCUCUUUAUCCUUUGCAUAUCUGUUUUGUUUCAAGUGUUGUGAGCUUGGAAUUAAACAUCUGAUACAGGCUAAUGAGUUAAUGACUGAACUUAUGCGUGUAUGCUUUUUAAUGGUUGGGUUAAUUGAUACUUUAAAGGUUGAAGAAUUCUUGACCUUGUCUUCUAGUUUUAGAUCUGUUUUGUCUAGUCUAGCCAUUAGAGAUAUUGGAAAAAUAUCUGAAUGUCUUUUAUUAAUUUGGUUGGGAGCAUAACUAUUGUCCCUUGGGUGAAGGUGGCAUGCUGUUGCAUCGUGGACUUGGGAUGCUCAAGAUGAAACAUGUGGGAUCUGUAGGAUGGCCUUUGAUGGCUGUUGUCCUGAUUGUAAACACCCUGGAGAUGAUUGCCCCUUAAACAAUGUUGCGUCAUUAGGUUGUCUAUUUUUCAAUUAGUUGUUUGGGGUGUAUGCAACCAUUCCUUCCAUCUUCAUUGCAUCUUGAAAUGGGUAAAUUCACAGACUUCUCAAGCACAUUGUCCCAUGUGCCGUAGAGAAUGGCAGUUUAAAGGAUGAAGAAAUCUACUUCCAUCCCAAUUUUUUUUUCCCUUUUUCUUUGUUGUUGUCACUAUUAUUCCUUGUUGGUAUCUUUCUUCUGCAGUGAACCAUAGAAAGAUCAACUUCAGGUUUUCUUUACGUUUUGUUCUUUUAACAAUUGUUCCUGUAAUAUUCAAUAUCAUAUUAUUGCAACUCUUGUCAUUUCUGGAUGUGAACAUUUGGAGUUUGUUAAUAAUAUGUAAUAUCAGAGAUUGAUCUUCCUA